GUGUGCAGUGCCCUGCCCAUCCAGGUGCAGUUCACGUACAAUUGGUGUACUGUGCCUUGAAUGGGUAUUGUAAGGCUCA
rfam:TPA: Bos taurus chromosome X, whole genome shotgun sequence.